AAAACGAUAAGAACAACUUUGUGUAAGAUUCUGUACUCCCAAACAGAGAGGAGAAGAACUUUGUGUAAGAUUCUGUCUACUCUAAUGGAAGGGAAAGCUAUUCUUCUUUGCCUCGUGGUGAUUUUGCAGCUUGGGAAUUCCAUUCAUGUUGAGCAAUGCUUUAGUGGAGUUGUAUUUGGAGGUCAUGUAUGCACGGAAUCACAAUGUCGGUCCUCCUGCCAACAAAAAUGGGGAAACGAAGUCGUGAACUCUUUCUGUAGGGUAGACAUCCCAGACUUUUUCCAUUGUUACUGCAUUGUCUGUGACUCCUAGCUUUGCACUAGGGCAUGAUGUCCAAGCGUGGAUAAUGAUAGGUCCAGUAAUAAAUCAUCUUGUGACAUGCAUGCAAGAUCCCAUAAUGGAAAAUUCUAGGUGUUCUAUUUGA